rnacentral:rRNA from 1 species
UGGGGAAUCUUCCGCAAUGGGCGAAAGCCUGACGGAGCAACGCCGCGUGAAUGAAGAAGGCCUUCGGGUCGUAAAGUUCUGUCUUUAGGGAAGAAGUCUCUUUAUGUAAAUAAUGUAGAGAGGUGACGGUACCUGAGGAGGAAGCUCCGGCUAACUACGUGCCAGCAGCCGCGGUAAUACGUAGGGAGCAAGCGUUGUCCGGAAUUACUGGGCGUAAAGGGCGCGUAGGCGGGAUAUUAAGUUAGGUGUGAAAACUCUGGGCUCAACUCAGAGACUGCACUUAAAACUGGUAUUCGUGAGGACAGGAGAGGAAAGUGGAAUUCCUAGUGUAGCGGUGAAAUGCGUAGAUAUUAGGAGGAACACCAGUGGCGAAGGCGACUUUCUGGACUGUAACUGACGCUGAGGCGCGAAAGCGUGGGGAGUGAACG